rnacentral:rRNA from 1 species
AUUGAACGCUGGCGGCAGGCUUAACACAUGCAAGUCGAACGGUAACAUAAAGGAGCUUGCUUCUUUGAUGACGAGUGGCGGGCGGGUGAGUAAUGCUUGGGAAUCUAGCUUAUGGAGGGGGAUAACUACGGGAAACUGUAGCUAAUACCGCGUAGAAUCGGGAGAUGAAAGUGUGGGACCUUCGGGCCACAUGCCAUAGGAUGAGCCCAAGUGGGAUUAGGUAGUUGGUGAGGUAAAGGCUCACCAAGCCGACGAUCUCUAGCUGGUCUGAGAGGAUGACCAGCCACACUGGGACUGAGACACGGCCCAGACUCCUACGGGAGGCAGCAGUGGGGAAUAUUGCGCAAUGGGGGCAACCCUGACGCAGCCAUGCCGCGUGAAUGAAGAAGGCCUUCGGGUUGUAAAGUUCUUUCGGUAGCGAGGAAGGCAUUUAGUUUAAUAGACUAGGUGAUUGACGUUAACUACAGAAGAAGCACCGGCUAACUCCGUG